GGUGAACGCUGGCGGCGUGCUUAAGACAUGCAAGUCGAACGGGCUCUUCGGAGCCAGUGGCGCACGGGUGAGUAACGCGUAACUGACCUACCCCAAAGUCGCGGAUAACGAUUCGAAAGAAUCGCUAAUACGUGAUGUGCUGUCAGAUCCUGUUCUGCCAGUAAAGAUUUAUUGCUUUGGGAUGGGGUUGCGUUCCAUCAGCUAGUUGGUGGGGUAAAGGCCCACUAAGGCGACGACGGAUCGCCGGCCUGAGAGGGUGGCCGGCCACAGGGGCACUGAGACACGGGUCCCACUCCUACGGGAGGCAGCAGUUAGGAAUCUUCCACAAUGGGCGAAAGCCUGAUGGAGCGACGCCGCGUGAGGGAUGAAGGUCUUCGGAUCGUAAACCUCUGAAUCAGGGACGAAAGACGCAAAAGCGGGAUGACGGUACCUGAGUAAUAGCACCGGCUAACUCCGUG
rnacentral:rRNA from 1 species